CCCUUAUGACCUGGGCUACACACGUGCUACAAUGGGCAGUACAACGAGAAGCGAACCCGCGAGGGUAAGCGGAUCUCUUAAAGCUGUUCUCAGUUCGGACUGCAGGCUGCAACUCGCCUGCACGAAGCUGGAAUCGCUAGUAAUCGCGGAUCAGCACGCCGCGGUGAAUACGUUCCCGGGCCUUGUACACACCGCCCGUCACACCAUGGAAGUCUGCAAUGCCCAAAGUCGGUGGGAUAACCUUUAUAGGAGUCAGCCGCCUAAGGCAGGGCAGAUGACUGGGGUGAAGUCGUAACAAGGUAGCCGUAGGAGAACCUGCGGCUGGAUCACCUCCUUUCUAAGGAA
rnacentral:rRNA from 1 species